rnacentral:lncRNA from 1 species
CCAGAAAUCUCGUUGCUUUGUCGAUCAAUACUUGGUUUUUGCUUAUUAUUUUCGAAAAAAUAUGGUAAAUCGUAAUGAUUAUAUCAUUAAAUAAUAAUUCAUAACACAAGGAAUACAAUAAUAUUAAUGAUUGUCAUAUAUAUGAUGGAAAAAGUAUUGAAAUUACAAGUUGAAAGAUAAUGCGCAUUAGAUGCCGGGUGCCGGUACAAGUUCUCGAACUUUCAGCACUGCGACGCCGCAUGCCUAUAUAAGAGAGCCGGCCGGCUUGCCUCGGCGCAUUCGUAAACAAACUUUCGUUCAGUUCGGACGCAGUGAACACCCGAAGACCCACUAACCAGUGAAUAUACCUCUACUUCUUUUACGUGGUCCACGAGGCUGCUGACAAUACGACGUGAAAAUGUAGACGAGACGGAUUCGGUGCGGAGCGCGACAGUUUACCUGCACCCUGCGGGGUCGGUGCUUGAACAAUCCGUACGCAACCAUAAUCUGAUUAGAGAGUUCGAAAUUUCUUCACACAUUUGAAGUAUUUAAGAAAAGCACUUCGAGUUAUAUGCAUAGUUUAGAGCAGAUUCGUAGUUUGAAGUCGAAUAAAUCGUCGGCUCCAUCUUGUCAAAACGAAUACUCUACCACAAGAACAUAUGGAACUUUGGAAUUGAGAACGGAAAAAUAAAUGGAAUCAAAAUAGAACAGGAAGUAAAAGAAAAAAGGAACAUAAAAAGGCUCGAAAAAAAAAAAAAAAAAGGGAUCACUUUCCUAACGUUUAUCGAGCAGCAUCGGGUGAGUCCUUUGCUCGGGACUCACCACCGAGCUCUUCUCUCCAUCUUUUUACCUUUUUGGGUGCCGUGAUAGUUAAAACACCAUCUGAAGAUAGACUCGAGGUAAUGUUGAUCACGUCGUGAGAUGGAGGCAAGACGUAUCUCCGUAUGAAUUGUCGGCUGACAAAUCCGUGCUCGUCUUGUCUCUCCUCGUGUUUUGCUUCGACAAUAACAUUAUUACCGACCGUCUUCACCGUAAUUUCUUCCGGUGAGAAUUGUUGAACGUCCAGUAUUACCUGUGGAGUAUCAGAGUAGAACAAUUUAGACAGACCUGAAGUUUAAAGAUCGAGCAGAGGAUAUCUUUUAUUGGAGCACGAUGUUACGUGUAAUGAAUAUGAUAUUUCAAAGAGGCAAUAAGAAAGAUCUGAACGACCGUUGAGAAAACACAUCCAUUCCACAUCCAAUUCUGGCCUCGCAUCUUGUAUACCAUUGAUUCUAUUAAAUCAUCAUUUAUUGCGAAAAUUUCAAAUAUCAAGCUUUUUCACACCGAUUCAGGGAAAGGCUAAUUCUUUUGAAUUAACGCCGCUUUAAGCAAACGAAGUUCGUCUUCGCCUGCUAUUGAAAACCUACGUUUAGAAUUAACACAUUAGGCAGUCUGUGUCUAUAUUUCGAAAUAACAAAUUUCCUUCUCUGAAAGAUCUCUAAAUGUCCAGUUAUUGGAUAUAAAUUUGCAGUCAGCUAUUAGCUACAAUACGCACAACCGUUUCUAAAAUCUUCUGUAUAAUCACUUUAAUAAGUAUUUGACAAAAAAAAGUAAAACAGUGAAAAGUAUAAAAAAAAUCCGUUCUUCCGGUAAAUUCGAGUUAUCCAUGCAAAAUAGACGAGCCACGAGGCUCGUUGGCGUUUAAAAAAUAUGAAUACAUAUUAGAAAAAAAAUGUAGAAAAGUAAUCUGUCUUUCUAUUUUCUACCGGUUGCAAAGUUUCGCUUAUUUCCUCUUUUUUUUUUUAAUAUAUAUCUUUUCAUGUGACAUGCGUUUUCUUGCGUUGAUUCUAUAUGGAAGUAACCGUUGUGACGAGCAAACCGGAAAGAUGUAGCUGACAAAACAAGCCUAUUGUAACAUCGUUUCUCUUUUUUUUUUUCUAUUUCGCAGAAAAGACAAGCAAAACGUGCAAGUAGGUGGAAUGAUUUUUUACUAUUGAGCAAAAACAAGCAGAAUUGCCGUGAAACUUUUUUUUAUUUUAGAAACAAAUAUUAUCUUGUGAUUAGCAAUUUCAAUUUAAAAAAGGUUGUGAAAAGGAGAGAAAAAAGAAGGAAGAUAUAAAUAAAGAAAAAGCCAACCGUACUUUUUUGGGUGAUUCUUAUAUGAUCCCAAAAUCCGGUGAGCUUUGAAAGUUAAAAAUAGAAAAAGAUCUGUAUAGUGAUAUAUGAAACCUUCGCUUUCUUUCUUUUGAGCAAUGUAGCAAAAGACCAAAUUUUAAAUCUCCAGUGCUGCUGCAUAUUGUAUACAGAGAGGAAGAGAGGGAGAGAAAGAGAGAGAGAUUGCGUACUUGCAUUUUUGUACAUAUAGAAUAUUUCGUAUUGAAUCGUUUUCUAUCGUUGAUGAUUCGAGAAGCAUUUAUUUUUAUAUAGAGAUUAUUAUAUAUAACGAAAAGAGAGAUCCGAAAGUUUUAAAGCAAAGCCGAAUUUUUUAGUCCGAGAGCGGCGCCCCCAUUUAAGGGGGGUGCUCUGACACACACCUCAUACUUUCUCGGUUCUUUCUGUAAACAAAGAGAGAGAGGAAAAAAAAAAAAAAAAAAAAAAAGACUGAUGAUACUUGUGACACGAUCCAUUUUUCGGAUUUAAAUGAGAAGAAAAGUCGUCCUUUGAAUAUUACAAGAUAUUUGGCAUCGUUUGUUAAACGGAACAGAAAUCCUUUCGUGAAUUAAAAAGAAAAAAGUUAAAAAAAAAACAAAAAAAAAAGAAAAGAAAAAAAAAAAGGAAAAAAAAGAAAAUGGCGAAAGCCUGUUAAACUGUGAUUUUUAGGAAGGAAUUUCCGGUAAAAAAAAAAAAGCGUGUGUCUAUCGGAAAAUAAUCGCAUGUACGUUCGGUGUGUGUAAAACAUUUCUUUUGUUACAAAAUUUUAACAAUUUUUCGCUACUCGAGUCAUUUUGAAGAAAAGUAAUUUUCGAGACCUGACUGCAUCCUACCAAAAUAUCCUUUAAAGCCCCCUCUUCUUUGAGGAGGGGGGUUCUCAUUUACAAAACAAAGAACCAAUAACUAACAUUAUAAUAAUCCCGAAAAACGUUCUGAAUCUUUACACCACUACGCAAAGCUGUGAACUAUUUGAAAACAAGAGGGAUUUACGGUGAAGAGAGAUCAAUUUUUAAAAUUCUUUAAAAUUCUUGUAUCGCAAACAAGAUAGAAAAUUAAUUAUGCAGCCGGCAAAGAACAUGCUAAGGAUAAACAGCAGCAGCAGCAGCAGUAGUAAUAGUAGUAGUAGUAAUGGCAGAAACAGAAAUCGGUUUUCGGGCCUUCUGGUGUUCCAGUUCUUUCAUUCAUUUCAUUAAUUAUAUUUCCUGAAAAUUGUAUUUUUAUUAUUAUUAUUAUUAUUUCAUUUAUUUAGUUAUAAUUGCUUUUCAAUGAUUAAAUCGCUUCGUUAUAAUAAUCUUGCGUUAGAACAUUGCAUUGAAAUUAUUACUUUUCUGUCAUAAAGUAUUUUAAGAUAUUUUCUAUUAUUAUAUUUUUUUAAUUAAUUUUUUUUUUUUUUUUUUUCAUUUGGUUCCAGUCAUUUUUCCUUUUUCUUUUCUUGAUAAGCAUUUAGAACACACACCCUCUUUAUUCAUUUCUCUUUGUAUUUUACGAAUGCGCUUUUUUCUUUCUAACUUCCUUACAUCUUUUCCUUACAUUCCUAAUUAAAUUUCUAGGUCUUGAAAAUAAUAUUAAUACAAAUUGAAAUUUUGAAACACAAGAUUUAUUUUUUUUCAUUCGGUUUUUUAUCCUCCUAGACACGCGUAUAUAUACAUAUAUAUAUAUCUACACGUUCCGUACUUACUGGACGACACCUAUGAUAAAAAUCUAUAAACAACAAUAUAAAAAAAAAAAAAAAGGUUAUCACUUUAGAUUGUCUCAGCCUAAGUUAAUCGACCAUUAAUCCGCGAAAUAGUGGAACAAAUAUUUCGCUCACUGUAUUAAAAAAACUCCAAUUGCACGAUAUUAUGAAAAAUAGAAAAAAUGGGCCAGUAAAUGUUUUAGCCUGCUCUAUUCGAAUGUAUUAAAAUUAUCGAACAUAUUUAGCUUGUGGCGAUAUAAAAAAAAAAAAAAAAAUAUAUUGUUACUUAAAAAGCUUUUAAAUAAUUCCUUGAACUGAGAGUUACUAAGUUACAACGGUUACUUACAAAGCGCAAACGAAUAAAAUAAUUUGUAUUUGCCAUAAGAAGGUAAUUGGAGGAAGAAAGAAAAAGGAAAGAAUAGAAAAAUAUAAGAAAAAAGAUAUCGAGUAUAUGCAGUGUAGUUUAAAAGUUUAGGCGUUUUAUCCAGUUCGAAUUGUCAUAAAUACCGAUACGUAGUAAC